rnacentral:rRNA from 1 species
CCUACGGGUGGCUGCAGUGGGGAAUAUUGGACAAUGGGCGCGAGCCUGAACCAGCCAAGUCGCGUGAGUGAUGAAGGCCCUCCGGGUGGAAAGCUUCUUUUAUAAAGGAGUAAAGUGAGGCACGUGUGCCUUUUUCUAUGUACUUUAUGAAUAAAGAUCGGCUAACUCCGUGCCAGCAGCCGCGGUAAUACGGAGGGUCCGAGCGUUAUCCGGAUUUAUUGGGUUUAAAGGGAGCGUAGAUGGGUUGUUAAGUCAGUUGUGAAAGGUUGCGGCUCAACCGUAAAAUUGCAAUGGAUACUGGCAGUCUUGAGUACAGUUGAGGGAGGCGGAAUUCGUGGUGUAGCGGUGAAAUGCGUAGAUAUCAGGAAGAACUCCGAUGGCGAAGGCAGCUUACUAAACUGUCACUGACAUUGAUGCUCGAAAGCGUGGGGAGCAAACAGGAUUAGAUACCCUAGUAGUC